rnacentral:rRNA from 1 species
AUUGAACGCUGGCGGCAGGCUUAACACAUGCAAGUCGAGCGAGCGGCGGACGGGUGAGUAAUGUCUGGGAAACUGCCUGAUGGAGGGGGAUAACUACUGGAAACGGUAGCUAAUACCGCAUACCCUCAGAUGUGCCCAGAUGGGAUUAGCUAGUAGGUGGGGUAAUGGCUCACCUAGGCGACGAUCCCUAGCUGGUCUGAGAGGAGGACAAGACACACUGGAACUGAGACAGGGUCCGGACUCGUACGGGAGGGAGCAGUGGAGAAUAUUGCACAAUGGACGCAAGGCUGAUGCAGCCAUGCCGCGUGUGUGGAGAAGGCCUGCGGGUUGUGAAGCAAUUUCAGCGAGGAGGCGUUACUCGCAGAAGAAGGACCGGCUAACUCCGUGCCAGCAGCCGCGGUAAUAC